rnacentral:rRNA from 1 species
GGUUAAGUUAGAAAGGGCGCACGGUGGAUGCCUUGGCACUAGGAGCCGAUGAAGGACGGGACGAACACCGAUAUGCUUCGGGGAGCUGUAAGCAAGCUUUGAUCCGGAGAUUUCCGAAUGGGGAAACCCACUGCUCGUAAUGGAGUAGUAUCCAUACUUGAAUACAUAGAGUAUGAGAAGGCAUACCCGGGGAACUGAAACAUCUAAGUACCCGGAGGAAGAGAAAGCAAAUGCGAUUCCCUGAGUAGCGGCGAGCGAAACGGGAACAGCCCAAACCAAGAGGCUUGCCUCUUGGGGUUGUAGGACACUCUAUACGGAGUUACAAAGGAACGAUAUAAGCGAAGAGGUCUGGAAAGGCCCGCCAAAGAAGGUAACAGCCCUGUAACUGAAAUGUUGUUCUCUCCAGAGUGGAUCCUGAGUACGGCGGAACACGUGAAAUUCCGUCGGAAUCCGGGAGGACCAUCUCCCAAGGCUAAAUACUCCCUAGUGACCGAUAGUGAACCAGUACCGUGAGGGAAAGGUGAAAAGCACCCCGGAAGGGGAGUGAAAUAGAUCCUGAAACCGUGUGCCUACAAGUAGUCAGAGCCCGUUAACGGGUGAUGGCGUGCCUUUUGUAGAAUGAACCGGCGAGUUACGAUCCCGUGCAAGGUUAAGCAGAAGAUGCGGAGCCGCAGCGAAAGCGAGUCUGAAUAGGGCGCAUGAGUACGUGGUCGUAGACCCGAAACCAGGUGAUCUACCCAUGUCCAGGGUGAAGUUCAGGUAACACUGAAUGGAGGCCCGAACCCACGCACGUUGAAAAGUGCGGGGAUGAGGUGUGGGUAGGGGUGAAAUGCCAAUCGAACCUGGAGAUAGCUGGUUCUCUCCGAAAUAGCUUUAGGGCUAGCCUCAAGGUAAGAGUCUCGGAGGUAGAGCACUGAUUGGACUAGGGGCCCCUACCGGGUUACCGAAUUCAGUCAAACUCCGAAUGCCGAUGACUUAUCCUUGGGAGUCAGACUGCGAGUGAUAAGAUCCGUAGUCGAAAGGGAAACAGCCCAGACCGCCAGCUAAGGUCCCAAAGUAUACGUUAAGUGGAAAAGGAUGUGGAGUUGCUUAGACAACCAGGAUGUUGGCUUAGAAGCAGCCACCAUUUAAAGAGUGCGUAAUAGCUCACUGGUCGAGUGACUCUGCGCCGAAAAUGUACCGGGGCUAAACGUAUCACCGAAGCUGCGGACUGUUCUUACGAACAGUGGUAGGAGAGCGUUCUAAGUGCAGUGAAGUCAGACCGGAAGGACUGGUGGAGCGCUUAGAAGUGAGAAUGCCGGUAUGAGUAGCGAAAGACGGGUGAGAAUCCCGUCCACCGAAUGCCUAAGGUUUCCUGAGGAAGGCUCGUCCGCUCAGGGUUAGUCGGGACCUAAGCCGAGGCCGAAAGGCGUAGGCGAUGGACAACAGGUUGAUAUUCCUGUACCACCUCCUCACCAUUUGAGCAAUGGGGGGACGCAGGAGGAUAGGGUAAGCGCGGUAUUGGAUAUCCGCGUCCAAGCAGUUAGGCUGGGAAAUAGGCAAAUCCGUUUCCCGUGAAGGCUGAGCUGUGAUGGCGAGCGAAAUUUAGUAGCGAAGUUCCUGAUUCCACACUGCCAAGAAAAGCCUCUAGCGAGGUGAGAGGUGCCCGUACCGCAAACCGACACAGGUAGGCGAGGAGAGAAUCCUAAGGUGAUCGAGAGAACUCUCGUUAAGGAACUCGGCAAAAUGACCCCGUAACUUCGGGAGAAGGGGUGCUUCUUAGGGUGUUAAAGCCCCGAGAAGCCGCAGUGAAUAGGCCCAGGCGACUGUUUAGCAAAAACACAGGUCUCUGCGAAGCCGUAAGGCGAAGUAUAGGGGCUGACGCCUGCCCGGUGCUGGAAGGUUAAGAGGAGCGCUUAGCGUAAGCGAAGGUGCGAAUUGAAGCCCCAGUAAACGGCGGCCGUAACUAUAACGGUCCUAAGGUAGCGAAAUUCCUUGUCGGGUAAGUUCCGACCCGCACGAAAGGCGCAACGAUCUGGGCACUGUCUCAACGAGAGACUCGGUGAAAUUAUAGUACCUGUGAAGAUGCAGGUUACCCGCGACAGGACGGAAAGACCCCGUGGAGCUUUACUGCAGCCUGAUAUUGAAUGUUGGUACAGCUUGUACAGGAUAGGUAGGAGCCUUGGAAACCGGAGCGCUAGCUUCGGUGGAGGCAUCGGUGGGAUACUACCCUGGCUGUAUUGACCUUCUAACCCGCUGCCCUUAUCGGGCAGGGAGACAGUGUCAGGUGGGCAGUUUGACUGGGGCGGUCGCCUCCUAAAAUGUAACGGAGGCGCCCAAAGGUUCCCUCAGAAUGGUUGGAAAUCAUUCGCAGAGUGUAAAGGCACAAGGGAGCUUGACUGCGAGACCUACAAGUCGAGCAGGGACGAAAGUCGGGCUUAGUGAUCCGGUGGUUCCGCAUGGAAGGGCCAUCGCUCAACGGAUAAAAGCUACCCCGGGGAUAACAGGCUUAUCUCCCCCAAGAGUCCACAUCGACGGGGAGGUUUGGCACCUCGAUGUCGGCUCAUCGCAU